rnacentral:siRNA from 1 species
UGGAUUCUCUUUUGGUGCGGGUGG